rnacentral:rRNA from 1 species
UACGGAGGGUGCAAGCGUUAUUCGGAAUCACUGGGCGUAAAGGGUGCGUAGGCGGUUUGGAAAGUCAGGUGUGAAAUCCUACAGCUUAACUGUAGAACUGCACUUGAAACUUCCAGACUAGAAUACUGAAGGGGCAGAUGGAAUUAGUGGUGUAGGGGUAAAAUCCGUAGAUAUCACUAGGAAUACCGAAAGCGAAAGCGAUCUGCUGGGAAGUUAUUGACGCUGAGGCACGAAAGCGUGGGGAGCAAACGGGAUUAGAUACCCCGGUAGUCCACGCCCUAAACGAUGAAUGCUAGUCGUCGGAAAGCUCGUCUUUCGGUGAUGCAGUUAACACG